rnacentral:lncRNA from 1 species
CGCGGAGGGGCUGCUGGGGCUUCCAGGAGGGCGCAUGUGCGGAUGACUGGCCGCAGGCGGCCGGGCGGGCUGUAACCCGCCGCUGAACUAGCGCUUCUGUGUCCAGAGGCUUCGGCCUGGCCGCCGUCGCCUGUAAGCUACGAGGAGGAGAUUUACGACUUGGCCGGGCGCAGCAAAGGCCAGACUCUGCGCGAACAGGCGCUGCGCACCAACCGGCAGGCACCUGGCGGGCACCAUCGCACGGUGGCGCAGAAGCCCCUCAAUGGCCAGCGCCAGCUGCAGCCGCGGCCGCGCAGUCGUCCCACCUGAGCUUGGGCGAAUGUGGAUUGGGAAAGUCGACAUUAAUCAACUCAUUAUUCCUCAUAGAUUUGUAUUCUCCAGAGUAUCCAGGUCCUUCUCACAGAAUUAAAAAGACUGUACAGCUGGCAGCCUGUUAUCGAUUACAUUGAUAGUAAAUUUGAGGACUACCUAAAUGCAGAAUCAUGCGUGAACAGACAUCAGAUGCCUGAUAACAGGGUGCAGUGUUGUUCAUACUUCAUUGCUCCUUCAGGACAUGGACUUAAACCAUUGGAUAUUGAGUUUAUGAAGCGUUUGCAUGAAAAAGUGAGUAUCACCCCACUUAUUGCCAAAGCAGACACACUCACACCAGAGGAAUGCCAACAGUUUAAAAAACAGGUAACUUUUCCGGUCACACACAACAGACUGAUUUUCCUGUGGAAGACCUCACAGGAGUUCUCUUGAACCAGGAGACUAUUUUGAGCUGAAAUACCUGGAGCCCUCUCAAGCUAUUUGGGCCUUUCAAUUUGAAACCCAGGUUUGGAUGAUUCUAAGCUCUAUGGCAGAGACUGUAAUCAUUUUCUCUUCACCCUCAGGUUGGGGACUCACCCUCAGGGUUGGGAGUGACUGCUGUCUCUCCAGCCCCCACCAAUUACACCAUGUUCUGGUUGUUAAAAUCCAGUGUAUGCAUGAAAUGUAAUAAAAGUAUCUUCGCAGCACUAAGUAGAGAGUUCCUUGUUGUGAGCAGACCAUUCCUCUUCCUCCUUGGAAAAAAUUAUCUAU